CCUACGGGUGGCAGCAGUGGGGGAUAUUGCACAAUGGGGGAAACCCUGAUGCAGCGACGCCGCGUGGGGGAAGGAGGGCCUCGGGAUUGUAAACCACUGUGGCCAGGGACAAAGAAGACGGUACCUGGGGAGGAAGCUCCGGCUAACUACGUGCCAGCAGCCGCGGUAAUACGUAGGGAGCGAGCGUUGUCCGGAAUUACUGGGUGAAAAGGGAGCGUAGGCGGGGAUGCAAGUCGGGGGUAAAAACUACGGGCUCAACUCGUAGUCGCACUUAAAACUGCAGCUCUUGAGUGAAGUAGAGGCAGGCGGAAUUCCUGGUGUAGCGGUGAAAUGCGUAGAUAUCAGGAGGAACACCAGCGGCGAAGGCGGCCUGCUGGGC
rnacentral:rRNA from 1 species